rnacentral:misc_RNA from 1 species
CUUUUAGAGGAAGUAAAAGUCGUAACAAGGUAACCGUAGGUGAACCUGCGGUUGGAUCAUUAAAAAGUUUACUCACCAGUGGCCAUAUACUGGCUCUGGCUUGAGGGCAACGAUCUUUUUGUGCAAUCAUUAUUAAAGUUGUCUGGGUCAUGAUCGAUUGAAAUAUAUUGAAAGGAUUGCUCUUUCAGACAAUUUUUUCUAAUGAUUGUACACAAAUAGAUUGAACAUUUUGUGAACUGUUUUGUCUCUGGCGGCCGGGUGGAGACAGACUUUUGCCAAAAGUCUGGUUUCAUCUGUCAGCUUGGGAAACCAAGCCGUGGACAAACCGCCAACUUAUUUUAACCCAACAUUAGAUUUUUUGUCUGACAUUACUUUGUAUAAAUAUACAAACAACUUUUGGCAACGGAUCUCUUGGCUCUC